GCUCGUGUCGUGAGAUGUUGGGUUAAGUCCCGCAACGAGCGCAACCCUUGUCAUUAGUUGCUACGAAAGGGCACUCUAAUGAGACUGCCGGUGACAAACCGGAGGAAGGUGGGGAUGACGUCAAGUCCUCAUGGCCCUUAUGGGUAGGGCUUCACACGUCAUACAAUGGUCGGGACAGAGGGUCGCCAACCCGCGAGGGGGAGCCAAUCCCAGAAACCCGAUCGUAGUCCGGAUCGCAGUCUGCAACUCGACUGCGUGAAGUCGGAAUCGCUAGUAAUCGCGGAUCAGCAUGUCGCGGUGAAUACGUUCCCGGGUCUUGUACACACCGCCCGUCACACCAUGGGAGUGGGUUUUACCAGAAGUAGUUAGCCUAACCGCAAGGAGGGCGAUUACCACGGUAGGAUUCAUGACUGGGGUG
rnacentral:rRNA from 1 species